AAAUGAAUAGACGGGGGCCCGCACAAGCAGCGGAGCAUGUGGUUUAAUUCGAAGCAACGCGAAGAACCUUACCAGGGCUUGACAUCCCUCUGACUGGUGUAGAGAUAUGCCAUUCCUUCGGGACAGAGGAGACAGGUGGUGCAUGGUUGUCGUCAGCUCGUGUCGUGAGAUGUUGGGUUAAGUCCCGCAACGAGCGCAACCCCUAUUUUUAGUUGCCAUCAGGUAGAGCUGGGCACUCUAGAGAGACCGCCGGGGACAACUCGGAGGAAGGUGGGGAUGACGUCAAAUCAUCAUGCCCCUUAUGUCCUGGGCUACACACGUGCUACAAUGGUCUGAAACAAAGGGCAGCGAAGGCGCAAGCCGGAGCAAAUCUCACAAACCAGACCUCAGUUCGGAUUGUGGGCUGCAACUCGCCCACAUGAAGUCGGAGUUGCUAGUAAUCGCGAAUCAGCAUGUCGCGGUGAAUGCGUUCCCGGGCCUUGUACACACCGCCCGU
rnacentral:rRNA from 1 species